rnacentral:rRNA from 1 species
UACGUAGGGCGCGAGCGUUGUCCGGAUUUAUUGGGCGUAAAGAGCUCGUAGGCGGCUUGUUGCGUCGACCGUGAAAACCCGGGGCUCAACUUCGGGCUUGCGGUCGAUACGGGCAGGCUAGAGUUCGGUAGGGGAGACUGGAAUUCCUGGUGUAGCGGUGAAAUGCGCAGAUAUCAGGAGGAACACCGGUGGCGAAGGCGGGUCUCUGGGCCGAUACUGACGCUGAGGAGCGAAAGCGUGGGGAGCGAACAGG